CAAAAAUUAUAUUUCAGUCCUUAAAUUUCAAUGAUCGGCGUAAACUGAGAGUGCCGGUACAAUCUGUGCAUUGUGUUUGGAUCGCGGGAAGCAUUUAGAGAGAAUUGUGCUCGAUGAACGCGCGAGGGAGGUAUUCGCCGGGGACUGGGAACGGUCGAGGCGGAGGAGGCGACGGUUACGGCGGGGGUGGCUUUCAAUCCAACCAUAAUUCCCGCGGCGGUUACCGUCAGGGUAGGAACCCUCAUUCUCAGCCUCAGCAGUAUGAUAAGCGGAGCUUGCAGAAUGAGCCGCACCAACAACAGCAGCAAUGGUUGCGGCGGAACGCUAGUGCAGCUCCGCCGGAGUCAAGUUACAAUGAGGUUCGGAAAAAUAUCCAGUCCGGCGGGAUUGAUUCAAGCUCUAAUGUUUGGAAGGCUCGCCUAAAUAUUCCACCGCCUGACACUCGGUAUAGGACUGAGGAUGUGACUGCAACCAAAGGAAAUGAGUUUGAAGAUUACUUUUUGAAGCGUGAGCUACUCAUGGGGAUUUAUGAGAAGGGAUUUGAAAGGCCUUCUCCCAUCCAGGAGGAGAGUAUACCUAUUGCACUUACUGGCAGUGAUAUUCUUGCUAGAGCUAAAAAUGGAACUGGCAAAACAGCUGCUUUCUGUAUUCCUGCACUGGAAAAAAUUGAUCCAGACAACAAUGUCAUUCAAGUUGUUAUACUUGUCCCAACAAGAGAGUUGGCACUUCAGACAUCUCAAGUUUGUAAGGAAUUAGGCAAGCACUUGAAGAUACAGGUAAUGGUCAGUACAGGAGGAACAAAUUUGAAAGAUGAUAUCAUGCGUUUGUAUCAACCUGUCCAUUUACUUGUUGGAACUCCUGGAAGAAUACUCGAUCUUGCCAAAAGGGGUGUCUGCAUUUUGAAGGACUGUGCAAUGAUUGCUAUGGAUGAGGCUGAUAAACUUUUGUCCCCUGAGUUUCAACCUUCCGUGGAGCAACUAAUUAUGUUCCUACCUCAACAUCGACAAAUUUUGAUGUUUUCAGCUACAUUUCCAGUGACUAUCAAGGAUUUCAAAGACAGAUAUCUGCAAAAGCCUUAUAUUAUUAAUCUAAUGGAUGAACUUACACUCAAAGGUAUAACACAAUUUUAUGCCUUUGUAGAAGAGCGGCAGAAGGUCCACUGCCUCAAUACCCUUUUCUCUAAGCUGCAAAUCAACCAAUCAAUUAUUUUUUGCAACUCUGUGAACCGAGUGGAACUGCUUGCAAAGAAAAUCACUGAGAUUGGCUAUUCCUGCUUCUAUAUCCAUGCAAAGAUGCUGCAAGAUCAUCGGAACAAAGUCUUUCAUGACUUCCGCAAUGGUUCCUGCAGGAAUCUUGUUUGUACUGAUUUAUUCACUAGAGGAAUAGACAUUCAAGCUGUCAAUGUUGUGAUUAAUUUUGACUUUCCUAAGAACUCAGAAACUUAUCUGCACAGGGUGGGCCGUUCAGGAAGAUUUGGGCAUCUUGGAUUGGCUGUAAAUUUGAUCACCUAUGAAGACCGUUUCAAUUUGUAUAAAAUUGAGCAAGAACUUGGGACUGAAAUUAAACCAAUUCCGCCCCAAAUAGAUCAAGCUAUUUACUGUCAGUAAUAAGCCAACUAAAGUAAAACCAACUAUGUGCAAUUUCUGCACUUAUUGAAGGCAAUGGCUACUUACUCCCUGGAUCAAGAUAUAUUGGAGGCUGCAGCUUAAUUUGUAGCAGGGAUAUGAUGCUAAUGUUGAUGCCUGGCCAUGUCCUCAGCCUUGAGGAUCUCUUCCUUUCGUUGCGCUUCAACUACUGCCCUCUUCUCAUCUGCCACCUUGUGAAUUUCAGCUACUUUGUUCUUCAUUUUUGCUCUAUGUUCAGCCUUCCUCUUCUCAAUAUUUUCCUGCUUGCAUUGUGUUAAAGGUACGUAAGCACAUAGAUGUUACACUAAGGAGAAGAAAAUCAAACACAAUAAUU